rnacentral:rRNA from 2 species
AACGGCGAGUGAAGCGGCAACAGCUCAAAUUUGAAAUCUGGCUCUCAGGGCCCGAGUUGUAAUUUGUAGAGGAUGCUUUUGGCGAGGUGCCUUCCGAGUUCCCUGGAACGGGACGCCACAGAGGGUGAGAGCCCCGUAUGGUCGGACACCGAGCCUCUGUAAAGCUCCUUCGACGAGUCGAGUAGUUUGGGAAUGCUGCUCAAAAUGGGAGGUAUAUGUCUUCUAAAGCUAAAUAUUGGCCAGAGACCGAUAGCGCACAAGUAGAGUGAUCGAAAGAUGAAAAGCACUUUGAAAAGAGGGUUAAAAAGUACGUGAAAUUGUUGAAAGGGAAGCGCCUAUGACCAGACUUGCGCCCGGUGAAUCACCCAGCGUUCUCGCUGGUGCACUUUGCCGGGCACAGGCCAGCAUCAGUUCAGCGCGGGGGAGAAAGGCUUCGGGAAUGUGGCUCCCUCGGGAGUGUUAUAGCCCGCUGCGUAAUGCCCUGCGCCGGACUGAGGUACGCGCAUUGCAAGGAUGCUGGCGUAAUGGUCAUCAGCGACCCGUCUUGAAACACGGACCAAGGAGUCGUCUUCGUAUGCGAGUGUUCGGGUGUCAAACCCCUACGCGUAAUGAAAGUGAACGCAGGUGAGAGCUUCGGCGCAUCACCGACCGAUCCUGAUGUUCUCGGAUGGAUUUGAGUAAGAGCAUACGGGGCCGGACCCGAAAGAAGGUGAACUAUGCCUGUAUAGGGUGAAGCCAGAGGAAACUCUGGUGGAGGCUCGCAGCGGUUCUGACGUGCGAAUCGAUCGUCAAAUAU